UUCGGUAGUAAAGUGUUCUCUCCGCUAUCAAUGGUGCUUCUAAGAUCCUGAUGUGUAAUCAAGAACAAUACAUCAUACACUUCAGCAAGAUUCAUCUAAGCAUACAGCAAUGAAACACUAGUGUUUGAAUGAUCAUAUCGUGAAACCUUGGCAACUACUGAUGAUCCACUUGCUCCUUUAGGACUUUAGGAGUGACUUUGAUAUAUCCAUCCACCACCUCACCUGCACGGUGCAAGGAUCAUAAUAGCUUUCGAAGGACCUUUUACACGUCACUAAUUUGUGAGUGGUCCUGAGAAUUGAAGGUAUAUUCAGGAGAAAAACCUCAUUUGGAAAUAGUAAUGCAGCCAAGCUCCUCGUCUGGGAAGUAGUUGAACCAGGAGAAGGAUAGAAAAGGUUACUAAUUGCUGUGUUGUGCCAGGCGAGUGUCACCAGUGCCACAGGAAUGCCUUUCUUGCGUCGGUUUUAGUUCCUACUCGGGUGAUAGACAGUACUCAGUGAGGCGUAUUCAAGCAACCGAACUGGUUCAUCUGUAUGAACGGUGAUAUCUUUACGGAAAAAGACUUUGCUCCACUUCAGUUUUCAAGAUAGGUAAAUAGGAAAGAUAGAAGUUAACGGUUUGAUGUUAGAAAUGACCCGAUUUCUAAAAGCUCUUCGAAGGUUUGCGCUUCCUGGGCUGGCAGAAACAAAGUUUUGACUCCCCAGCCGAAGGUGUCUGCAGUUAAGAGCGCUGGGCUUCUGAUACGAUCAUGG